rnacentral:tRNA from 1 species
GCGCCUAUAGCUCAGUUGGAUAGAGCAUGUGCCUUCUAAGCACAGGGCCGGGGGUUCGAAUCCCUCUGGGCGCG